AGUGAACGCUGGCGGUAGGCCUAACACAUGCAAGUCGAACGGCAGCACAGUAAGAGCUUGCUCUUACGGGUGGCGAGUGGCGGACGGGUGAGGAAUACAUCGGAAUCUACUUUUUCGUGGGGGAUAACGUAGGGAAACUUACGCUAAUACCGCAUACGACCUACGGGUGAAGGCAGGGGAUCUUCGGACCUUGCGCGAUUGAAUGAGCCGAUGUCGGAUUAGCUAGUUGGCGGGGUAAAGGCCCACCAAGGCGACGAUCCGUAGCUGGUCUGAGAGGAUGAUCAGCCACACUGGAACUGAGACACGGUCCAGACUCCUACGGGAGGCAGCAGUGGGGAAUAUUGGACAAUGGGCGCAAGCCCGAUCCAGCCAUACCGCGUGGGUGAAGAAGGCCUUCGGGUUGUAAAGCCCUUUUGUUGGGAAAGAAAAGCAGCAGGUUAAUACCCCGCUGUUCUGACGGUACCCAAAGAAUAAGCACCGGCUAACUUCGUG
rnacentral:rRNA from 1 species